UACGUAGGGUGCAAGCGUUGUCCGGAAUUAUUGGGCGUAAAGAGCUCGUAGGCGGUUUGUCGCGUCUGCUGUGAAAACUCGGGGCUUAACUCCGGGCCUGCAGUGGGUACGGGCAGACUAGAGUGCGGUAGGGGAGACUGGAAUUCCUGGUGUAGCGGUGAAAUGCGCAGAUAUCAGGAGGAACACCGAUGGCGAAGGCAGGUCUCUGGGCCAUAACUGACGCUGAGAAGCGAAAGCAUGUGGAGCGAACAGG
rnacentral:rRNA from 1 species